ACGCGACUUCCGUUCGUUCCUUCUUCCUCGAGUAUUUGUGGAGAUGUGUCAUGACUGUCGACGCUUGGCUCUAUCUAAGAUGACGUAUGCCUGGUGGAAAGAAUGCAGUGUGGUAGACGUUGGAUGAAACCAACUCCUUGUACAACAACUACUACUACUUGCAAAUGGUGUGGUAUUCAUAUCAAAUGGCCGUGCUAUAUCGGCACUGAUUUGCCAUGGUGGUUCAAGUUGUGGAUGCACCAGUUGAUUGGCUGUUGGUCGUUCAAAAUUGACUUGAGUGAUUUUGAGCCCUUGACGAUGAUGCUCAUUAAGGUAUGACUGGAAUCCUGCGUUGGUGUCUUCAAUUCAGUUUCCUGUGAUGGCAUGCAGUCGACCACUAUAGUGGUCAAUGUGUUUUAUCUAUACAAUUUUGAUUGUCAAUGUCUGUAAAUGCAAAAUAAAGAUUUGCAGCAACAAGUUAGAUGGACUUGUACUCAUUUUUCUAAAAUGU